GAUGCAUGCGCGUUGGCAGACGCUGAGAGCUUCGUAUAUCAGGGGCGUGCUUUCUCUUCCUUUCUUUUGUGCGUGUGUGUUUUAUACAUGUCUGUUGCGCUGGCGUGUCGUGCCGUUUCCCAUUCCCAAGAGACACGAAGCGGCGACAGACUUGAGUGCUGGCAAUGCGCCGGGACAAAUGGCUGCCGCCAGACGCUAACAGAACCUGCGGACUUCUCGUCGUCACUGGUCACAACCGCCAAGCACUUCAGCUGUUCAACGGAUGCGCGUAUAUCCAUGGCGUGUCACACGUCGCUCACCUAGUGCACACAUGUCUUGACUGGCUUCGUUAUUGAGCACAGUGCUUCUAGCAUGGAAGAUGCACU